UAUCUGAGAUAUUCUAGUUAAUAUAUAUAUUAUAUAUAUGUAAGUAAUGAUUAUUAUUAAUAUUUUAUAUUAUAUUAUAUUAUAUAUAUAUAUAACAAAAGAAAGAAUAGAAAUGAGAAAGAAAGAAACAGAGAGCAAAACGAAACAGAGAAGGGAGAAAGAAGAAAAAGAAAGAGCGACGGUUCAGGGGUUUCAAAACUUCUAAAUUCAAUUGAUCAAGAAGUACGAAACUCGAGGUUAGACAAAGGGAAGAAUAAAGUUGAAGACUAAGUUGGUGAAUUUGGCUAUAAUUGGUACCGAGGUAAGUUUACGGUAAAUAAAUGCAAUAUUUCAAUAUUUAUUAUUAAUGCUGUUAAUUUCCAGCAAUUAUGAAUUUAUUUUAUGAAUUUAUUUGAUGAUGAUCCAAGCAUGAAAUGAUAGAGAAUUAAAAUUUAAAAGUCCCGUUGAUACAUAAGGAUGGUACUGGAUACGAAUGUCAUGACAUUUGGGUAAAGAGAUCCCAUGUAAGACCAUGUCUGGGACAUGGCAUUGGCAUCCUUAAGAUCAUGAGAGGUCCCCUGUAAGACCAUGUCUGGGACAUGGCAUGGGCACCGAGACGAGAGGUCCCAUGUAAGACCAUGUCUGGGACAUAGUGUUGGCACCGAGAUGAGAGGUCCCCUAUAAGACAAUGUCUGGGACAUGGCAUGGGCACCAUCACGAGAACAUCCCAUGUAAGACCAUGUCUGGGACAUGGCUUUGGCAUGUUAUUAUCAGAAGAGACCCGAGUAUCCUUAUUAUUCCAAUGUAGUUCAACGGGCUUGUAAACGAAUCAUGUUCAUGAAAGUUCAGUUUAAAGCAUAAAUGGCAAGCUCAGGUAAGUUAUAAGACUUAAGAACUUAUUAUACUAUCAAUUGAUGUUCAACGAUGCAGCAAGGAUUGAGUAAGUUAUGCACACAAAUAUUCUAAGUAAACAAGUAAGAGAACUAGUAUGAGAUUAACUAAAGAGUAAACUAGAGAUAUAGACAUAGAGUUUAAUUAUUUAAGUUAAAUAUUGUUAUUUAUUUGCUAGUAAACUUACUAAGCUUUAUACUUACUUCUUUUAUUUCUCUUUCUCUUAUAGUAUUGCAAAGCUACUUCAAGGAUUCUAAAGAAGUCGGAGAUCGUCCACACUAUCAACUACAACUGCUCGGUAUUUUAUAUCGAAACACGUUUAAGUUAUGGCAUGUAUAGGGAUUUAGUUAUUUUGUAUGUUUGUAGUGAUGAUUUUGCUAAUGAGUGAUGUGUAAGUAUUUGAUGAUGUAUGGUUAUUAAAAUGAUUAAGGAUGAAGGUGUUUGUUGUUAUGAAAGAUUAGGUGAUAAAUUAUGCAUGGAAAUCAUGAAAGGAUAAAAUUUUGCAAAGAAACAGAAUUCAGGCAGCACAGUGACGUGAAUUUGAAAAAUCACCCAAGAUAGUAUAAAAUGAAUUAGAGGGUGAAUGAUAUAUGGAAUUAAAGUUUGUUGAGUCUAUUUUCAUGGAAAAAUAACGGUGUAGAAAAAAAGAAAUUUGUAUUUUAAGAUAUGUGAAUUUUAGCAAGAUAGGGUCAGAACUAUUUUUGGAGUCCCCUGUUCUGAGUUUAGAAAAUAAUUACAAAUUGUACAAAAAUGGUUAUGAGUUGAAAUUUACAUGCUUAGAUUCCUUAAUGAGUCUAUUUUCUAUAGAAACAAGUAAGAACUUCAUAUGAAAAUCCUAUAGUGAGAAAACUUAUUUUUAGUGACUAGAGGUCAGGGCAGUCUGGUGGUGACACAGGGGAGACUUUAACUAAUAAACUGUACUAAUUUUCUGAACCAAAAAUUCUAAAAAUUUUAUGGUGAGUAGAUAUAUGAGUCUAGUUUCAGGGAAAAUUUACGGGAUUAAAUUUCGAGUUCUGUAGCUCAAGUUAUAAUUAAUUUAGUAACUGCUGCGCGAUUAGACAGAUUUGCUCCGAAUUGGUAAGAUAAGCUAAGUAAUGCCUCGUGCUCGACUCCGGAAACGGUCUCGGGUAAGGGGUGUUACAUUUUAUUGGUAUCAGAGCAGGUUUAGUCGGUUCUCGGAAAUACUCAGUAAGAAUAAGAGUCUACCUAUACAUGCCAUACUUAUAUAUUUUGAUAGUGUGACGACUCCUGACGAUUUUACAAUGUUUUCUUUUAUAGUUAUGGAUCAUGAACGAGCUAGUACAGAUGAAGUAGAGAGUAAUGCACCUAUUCCCGCAGAAGGGACGGUGCCAUCAGAUGUUAUAUCAGUCCCAUAUUUCCUAAGUGUUCUGUUUCGUCUACUGGGCCUCUGCUAAAAAAAAUGUUACAAGAUAAAAGAUUAUCUUUGAUUCAAUGAUGAAUGAUUAUAAAGGAAAAAUAAGUUACAAAGCUGUGAAUAAAGAAGUAUGUAUUUGUAAUAAAAUAAUUUAAAGUUGUGAAUAAAUAAAUGUUAUUUAGUUCUGUAUGGAGAUUUAAAAUAGUAAUCCUUAUAGAUAAGGAUGAAAAUAUACAUUUAUACACUUAAAAGAGUAACCUUGAUAAAUGAGAAAUGUUUUACUAAUAGACAAAAAUGUCUCCAAUUGAUCUAGUUCCGACAGUGAUGAAAGUGAUAUUUGAGUAUUUGAUAGAGAAAGGGGAGUUGCCUAUAUGAGUAAAGAUUUAUAAGGUAUGAAAUGAAUGUUUGUAAUGAAUAUAUUGACGAUAAAAGUCAUGUUAUGUGUAUAUAUAUAAGUAUAUAUAUAAGAGUCAAAUUUUGAGGCUUUACGACCUUCACCCCCUCACCUGAACAAUGGAAUUUACAAGAAUUGUAUUCAUUAAGUUUACAAGUGUGAAAUUGAAGAGUUCAAUAAUUGAAGGAAUAAUAAUGCAGUCAGAAUUGUGGAUGGGAUAGCAAGUAAAGAGAGUUCUAGAAAGGAUAUUAGAUUUUUUUUAAAUGAUUAUUGGGAUUUGCAAUGUCGCUAUUAAGGAAGAAGCUAUUCACGAGUAACCGACUUACUCAGGUAUAAAAUUUAAAGAGCAGGUUAAUCGGAAUUUCUUCUGAAUUGAUUUCUUUAAUGAUUGAGAUAAUGUGAGAUUAUUGAUGACUUUAGUAAUCAGUGGGAUUGUGUUGAAAAUUGCAAACAUAUCUGAAUGCAGUUGUUAUAGUCGAGUAUUUUACAAUGAUCUCUUCUGGGUAUUCUAUAUGGGUAUUCUAUAUGCUCUUUUAUCCUCAGAGGUAUAUGCAAUUAUUUAUUUUCAGAUAUGAUUCUUAUCAUAUAGCAAGGUUGGCUAAUCGUAUUGUUAGACGAAAUUAUUAUUAGUCUGGUUGAUUCAUGAUCGGGAUUCCUCUAUCUUUCUUUGGUUUUCUAACCUAUUAUGUUCGAUGGAAGAUUUGAUGAUAAGACUCAUAUGAAGCUAUUUUCUAUUUCUACUGGUUGAAGCUCCGAAUUAUAUAUAUGGAAUUUAUAUUGUCUGUAACACCCCUUACCCGUAUCCAACACCGGAAUAGGGUACGAGGCAUUACCAAAACACAUACACUUGUAAACGUAUUUAACCGAGUUAUAAAAUUUCAUCAAAAUUAAAACUUUCAAAAAUAAUUAACAUGUUUCUAUAACUUUUCACAAUAUGUCCUUAAAAUAUUAUAAUCAUAAUAAUUAGGGCCUGCGAGACCCGAUACAUACUCAUGCAAUUUAAUGCUUCAUUUCCAUUUCAUUCAAUUCGCAAUUUCUCAUGCUCAUAAUUUAAAUCAUAUCACUAGAAAUUUCCAUUUAAUUCACGUACAAUUCAAUGACAUCAAAUUCAAAACUAAUACGUAUUUACCAUUUAACUCAAUGUUUAUUGAUUAUACCAUUCAAUAACACAUUUAUGAAAUUCUCAAUUUAGCAAUGAAAAUAUCACUUUAGUUUGAAUAACAACAUCGUCCUGAUAUAAAUACACUACCACUUAUCCAUUUACUUUACUUCUUUUGGGCCCAUUUGUCACUUACCAUCUUUAAUCAAAUUAGGGAACGGUCACGGAAAAUUGAGUACUUCACUUUCACUUUGCCAUAGUAUAACUAUGGUCUUACGUAUGAUCACUUAUCACUUGUCCCUGAUCAGAUAAGUGUAGCCACCUAUCACUUUGUUUCUUGAUCACAUAAGUGUAGCCACUUAUCACUUUGUUUCUUGAUCAGAUAAGUGUAGCCACUUAUCACUUUGUCACUUGAUCAGAUAAGUGUAGCUAAAGCUAUCACUUAUCACUUUGUCACUUGAUCAGAUAAGUAUAGCCGAAGCUAUCACUUAUCACUUUAUCACUUGAUCAGAUAAGUAUAGCCGAAGCUAUUACUUAUCACUUUCCACUUGUCACUUGAUCAGAUAAGUGUAGCUAAAGCUACCACUUAUCACUUUAUCACUUGAUCAGAAGUACUCAAAUCCGGCGUUCCGCUCAAUUUGAUCAUUUAUUCAUAUAUCAGGCUUACCAACAUGUGUUAAUUCAUAAACCAUUCAUGGUAUUAUUUCAUGCCAAAUCAUAUACUGAAUAUACCAUACACACAUAUUAUUAAACUUUAUUUUCACACAUGAGCUUAAACCAUGACCAAUAAUGCACAAAAAUAAGCAUCAUUCAUAUUUCAUCGUUUAUGAGUUAUAAUCAAACAUAUGACCAUUUAUACACGAAUCAUUCAUAUAUUUCCCAAUUUUCCUCCUCCUCCUCUCCAUUCCACAUCCUUAAUGUGUAUAACACACUUAAACAACAUUAACCAUAAUUUCAAUAUUCACUAACAUGUAUAUUCAAAGCUGUUUAUCCGAGUCAGAGUCACUAAAUUAUUUUUAUCCGGAGCUACAGAGCUCCAAAUUAAGAUCCGUUAAUUUUCCCUGAAACUAGACUCACAUAUCUUCAUACCAUAAAAUUUUCAUAAUUUUUGGUUCAGCCAAAUAGUACAGUUUAUUCUUUAAAGUUUCUCCUGUUUCGCUGUCUGACAGUUCCGACCACUCUUCACUAAAAAUUAAUUAUCUCAUUGUACAGAAUUCGGAUGAUGUUUUAGCUUGUUUCUUCUAAAAAUAGACUCAUUAAAGAUUCUAACCAUAUAAACUAUAACUCAUAAUAAUUUCUGUACAAUUUUUAAUGAUUUUCCAAAGUCAGAACAGGGGAACCCGAAUUCAUUCUGACCUUGUCUCACAAAAUCUAUUAUAUCUCAUGAUUUACAAUUCCAUUGCUCACAUCAUUUCUUUUAUAAGAAACUAGACUCAAUAAGCUUUAAUUUCAUAUUUUAUUCAUCCUCUAAUUCAAUCUCUACAAUUUUUGGUGAUUUUUCAAAGUUACACUACUGCUGCUGUCCAAAACUGCUUUAGUGCAAAAUGUUGAUUUCCAUUUUGCCCCAAAUUUCACAGUUUAUACAAUUCGGUCCUUUCUCAAUUAACCCCUCAAUUAAUCUAAUUUUCUCAAUUAGUACUUUACUAGACAUUAUAAGUUGUUACACAACUAUUGAAAUUCAGAAUUUCCACAUAUAACUCUAUCUUCAAACUCUUUUACUAUUAGGUCCCAAACAUUCACUUUCUAUUCAAUUCUUUCAAUAAAAUCAGCAUAUGAACAAUUUAAAGCUCUAAUUUCAUGCUAAAUCAUCAUAUACUUCCAGCACAUAUUCAUAUCAACUUUCAACUUCUUUCAUAAAAUCAAAAACUAAUGAAUUUAACAAGUGGGCCUAGUUGUAAAAGUCAUAAAAAUACAAAAAUUUCAAGAAAUAGUCAAGAAUUGAACUUAAUUGUAAUAAAAAUAUGAAGAACCAGCUUGAAGAAGCCCUUCCAUGGUGUUUUAGCUGAUGAGAAUUCAGAAAAAUGAAGAGAAAUCUAGAUAAUUCCACUUGGGUCCUAACUUUAUUAAGCAAAUUUUCCAAUUUUCCAAUUUUGCCCUUAAUUCUCCUUACUUUCUUGCUGAUUUCAUGCCUCUGCCGUCCAGCCCAAAUAGACCUUGGGUCUAUUUGCUUUUUAAGCCCUCUUCCUUUUAUCAUUUAAGCUAUUUAAUCAUUUCCCAAAAUUUUGCAUUUGUUACAAUUUAGUCCUUUUUGUUCAAUUAAUUAUCGGAACUUUAAAAUUUCUUAACGAAACUUUAAUACUAACUUUUUAACACUCCAUAAAUAUUUAUAAAAAUAUUUAUGGCUCAGUUUAAAAUCCCCGAGGUCUUGAUACCUCAUUUCGAUUCUAAUUAUUUUAAUAUUUAUUUCUAGUGCACUAUUCACUAUUUCAAAAAUUUUCCUAACUUCAUAUUUAACUUAUACUUACUAAAUUAAUAAUAUUUUCUACCCAUUUGUCGAAUUUAGUGAUCUCGAAUCACCGUUCCGACACCUCUGAAAAUUCAAGCCAUUACAUUUUUUUUCAUCGGAUUUGUGGUCCCGAAACCACUGUUCCGACUAAGCCUAAAAUCGGGCUAUUACAUUGUCUUUAUCACAACUAUUCCUAGUACGUACAAGUGAUAUUCUUCUUUUGGAUUUUCUCUGGGAUAUCAUCGAUCUCUUUAUCAUUCAAUGUGGUUUUUCUUCUCGAAAAUUUAGUAUAGCUUCACAUCUUGGAUUUUAUUAUCUCGGUUUUCUUAUUAUUCUUAUGGUCUAAUCUUAUCUAUUAACCAUGGUUUAUCCGUACAAGAUAUUCAUUGGCCGGAGGUAAUUAUAUUUAUUACUGUUAUAAAUCUUGGUUUGAUCAUGGGAACUCGGUGAUAUGGAUCUCAGAUUUUAGAAGUUGUAUUACUGCACUGGUUGUUAUUGGGACUACUUCGGUUUUCUUCAUCUAUUUUGGAGUGCACUAUUGAUGUUGAGGUAUUGUUCUAUCUAUAUAGUUGGAACGUCGGUCCUAGUAUAGCUCUAUAGUUUUUAAUCUAUUUGAUGGUUGUGGCUUCGGUAUAGUUCAAAGCUUCGAUGUUAAUGAUUGAAAUAGUUUUAUUAUAUAUAUAAUUCCUUUCUAGUUUUCGUGAAAGGGUUGACAUCGGCAAAAGUAUAGAUGGAGGAAGAUUGAGCUCAAACUUGUAUUUUGGUUUUCAUUUCUCAGGUAAUUCUGAAAUUAUGUCAACAAGUUAAUAAUGGAAUGUCAAAAUUCGUUUGAGUUAAAUGCUAUUAGUGGAAAUUUUCGAUUGGUGUUCCGAGAGGAUUAUGAUAUAUGGUAUAUCUGGAUUGUUUUGACAACAAGAAGAAUGGAUUAUUCUGAAAUGUUAUUAUCUGAUAGAUAAAAUCGACUCAGUUGUUUUAAUCAGAGUGGGUUAUUCAUUGAAAAGUUAAUUGAGUUAUAAUCAGUGAUGGAAUCAGUACAUCUUGGGUCUCCACAAUGGGUUUAAAUUAUCUGUUUUCUUAUCGCUGGAUGGGUUUCCAAGAUCUUCGUUCAAAGGUAUUAAAUAAGAUAAUUCGGGUUUCUCAGUUAUGUUUCGGCAGACAAUUACUGGACAUUUCUUGGUAGUCAUACUACUAGUGAAAAAGUGAUGGCAAGAGAACAUCAGAGCUGCUCAGUUAAGUUCAGGCAUAGUAUCAAUUUCUAAAAUGAGUUUUGAUAUGAGUUCGGAAGUGAUAUGAGUUAUGAUUAAUUUUUAUGGACUUCGAUUGAAAGGGGUGAAGAAAGAUUUGACUUAAUAGCUUGUAUCAGGUGAGAAAUUUCGAGGACGAAAUAUUUUUAAGGGGGGAAGAGUUGUAACAGCCCAAUUUUCAGUAGUGUCAGAAUAGUGAUUUGAGAUCACUAAAUUCGAUGAAGAAGUUAGAAAUAUUUUUGAAUUAGUGAAUUUUGUGAUUUAAAAGAAAUUAUUAGGUAAAUUGGGUCGAAAACGAGGUAUCGAGACCUCGAUAUUAUAAACUGAGCCGUAAAUAUUUUUAUAAAUAUUUACGGAGUGUCAAUAGGAUAAUAUUAAAGUUUCGUUAAGAAAUUUUAAUGUUUCGAUAGUUAAUUAGGAAAAAGGAUUAAAUUGCAAUAGGGAUAAAAGUUUAAUUAUAGAUUAAAGAAAAGUUAAAAGGACCAAAUAGGCAAUUAUGCCUUUUUCUAAAGUUGAGGCGGCAUAAUGAAAGAAAUAUUGAGAUAUUCUAGUUAAUAUAUAUAUAUUAUAUAUAUGUAAGUAAUGAUUAUUAUUAAUAUUUUAUAUUAUAUUAUAUUAUAUAUAUAUAACAAAAGAAAGAAUAGAAAUGAGAAAGAAAGAAACAGAGAGCAAAACGAAACAGAGAAGGGAGAAAGAAGAAAAAGAAAGAGCGACGGUUCAGGGGUUUCAAAACUUCUAAAUUCAAUUGAUCAAGAAGUACGAAACUCGAGGUUAGACAAAGGGAAGAAUAAAGUUGAAGACUAAGUUGGUGAAUUUGGCUAUAAUUGGUACCGAGGUAAGUUUACGGUAAAUAAAUGCAAUAUUUCAAUAUUUAUUAUUAAUGCUGUUAAUUUCCAGCAAUUAUGAAUUUAUUUUAUGAAUUUAUUUGAUGAUGAUCCAAGCAUGAAAUAAUAGAGAAUUAAAAUUUAAAAGUCCCGUUGAUACAUAAGGAUGGUACUGGAUACGAAUGUCAUGACAUUUGGGUAAAGAGAUCCCAUGUAAGACCAUGUCUGGGACAUGGCAUUGGCAUCCUUAAGAUCAUGAGAGGUCCCCUGUAAGACCAUGUCUGAGACAUGGCAUGGGCACCGAGACGAGAGGUCCCAUGUAAGACCAUGUCUGGGACAUGGCGUUGGCACCGAGAUGAGAGGUCCCCUAUAAGACCAUGUCUGGGACAUGGCAUGGGCACCAUCACGAGAACAUCCCAUGUAAGACCAUGUCUGGGACAUGGCUUUGGCAUGUUAUUAUCAGAAGAGACCCGAGUAUCCUUAUUAUUCCAAUGUAGUUCAACGGGCUUGUUAAACGAAUCAUGUUCAUGAAAGUUCAGUUUAAAGCAUAAAUGGCAAGCUCAGGUAAGUUGUAAGACUUAAGAACUUAUUAUACUAUCAAUUGAUGUUCAAUGAUGCAGCAAGGAUUGAGUAAGUUAUGCACACAAAUAUUCUAAGUAAACAAGUAAGAGAACUAGUAUGAGAUUAACUAAAGAGUAAACUAGAGAUAUAGACAUUGAGUUUAAUUAUUUAAGUUAAAUAUUGUUAUUUAUUUGCUAGUAAACUUACUAAGCUUUAUGCUUACUUCUUUUAUUUCUCUUUCUUUUAUAGUAUUGCAAAGCUACUUCAAGGAUCCUAAAGAAGUCGGAGAUCGUCCACACUAUCAACUACAGCUGCUCGGUAUUUUAUAUCGAAACACGUUUAAGUUAUGGCAUGUAUAGGGAUUUAGUUAUUUUGUAUGUUUGUAGUGAUGAUUUUGCUAAUGAGUGAUGUGUAAGUAUUUGAUGAUGUAUGGUUAUUAAAAUGAUUAAGGAUGAAGGUGUUUGUUGUUAUGAAAGAUUAGGUGAUAAA
rnacentral:lncRNA from 1 species